AUGGGAACGCGAAGAACCUUACCUGCCCUUGACAUCCAUAGAAGACGAGAGAGAUUUUGUUGUGCCUUCGGGAACUAUGAGACAGGUGCUGCAUGGCUGUCGUCAGCUCGUGUUGUGAAAUGUUGGGUUAAGUCCCGCAACGAGCGCAACCCUUAUUUUAGUUGCCAUCAUUAAGUUGGGCACUCUAGAGAGACUGCCGCUGAUAAGGCGGAGGAAGGUGGGACGACGUCAAGUCAUCAUGGCCCUUACGGGCAGGGCUACACACGUGCUACAAUGGGCAUUACAGAGGGAAGCGAAAGUGCGAGCUGAAGCGAAACUCAGAAAGGUGUUCGUAGUCCGGAUUGCGCUCUGCAACUCGAGCGCAUGAAGUCGGAAUCGCUAGUAAUCGCGGAUCAGCAUGCAGCGGUGAAUACGUUCCC
rnacentral:rRNA from 1 species